rnacentral:rRNA from 1 species
AUUGAACGCUGGCGGCAGGCCUAACACAUGCAAGUCGAACGAGUGGCGGACGGGUGAGUAAUGUCUGGGAAACUGCCUGAUGGAGGGGGAUAAAUACUGGAAACGGUAGCUAAUACCGCAUACCAUCGGAUGUGCCCAGAUGGGAUUAGCUAGUAGGUGGGGUAAAGGCUCACCUAGGCGACGAUCCCUAGCUGGUCUGAGAGGAUGACCAGCCACACUGGAACUGAGACAGGGUCAAGACUCAGACGGGAGGCGACAGUGGGGAAUCUUGCACAAUGGGCGAAAGCCUGAUGCAGACAUGCCGCGUGUAUGAAGAAGGCUUUGGGGUUGUAAAUUAGUUUCAGCAGGGAGGCGUUAUCAGCAGAAGAAGCAACGGCUAACUCCGUGCCAGCAGCCGCGGUAAUUC